rnacentral:rRNA from 1 species
CAGCAGCCGCGGGAAUACGUAGGUGGCGAGCGUUGUCCGGAAUUAUUGGGCGUAAAGGGAGCGCAGGCGGACAUAUAAGUCCAUCUUAAAAGUGCGGGGCUCAACCCCGUGAGGGGAUGGAAACUGUAUGCCUUGAGUGCAGGAGAGGAAAGCGGAAUUCCCAGUGUAGCGGUGAAAUGCGUAGAUAUCGGGAGGAACACCAGUGGCGAAGGCGGCUUUCUGGACUGUAACUGACGCUGAGGCUCGAAAGCCAGGGGAGCGAACGGGAUUAGAGACCCGCGUAGUCCCUGUCUCUUAUACA